GGGUGGGUCGGCUCUAAUUUUUCAACUUCAAUUUUCUUCAUUGUUUGACCUUCCAAACUUAAAUUUUUUGGCCCCAAUUUUUUUAAAUAAUAUUUUCAUCUUUCAAAUUUAUUUUUUUCAUAAUGAGCCAUCCUUAUUUCAGUGAAGGAGUUGGCUCAUCUUGCUCUGGGUCGACUCCACUAAGUUUAAACUUGAAUUUUCUCCCUUGAAGA
rnacentral:lncRNA from 1 species